rnacentral:misc_RNA from 1 species
UCAUACAAUUGAGGUGCCGGGGCUGUCGCUGACCUUUGAAUAUAAAGGUCGUGCACGCCCCGAGCAUUCUCUCAUAUCCAUCUCACCCCUUUGUGCAUUGCCGCGUGGGUCUCCCUUUAAUAAGGGGACUUGCGUUUUUACAUACACACCCUUUGAAUGCAUGUGUAGAAUGUCUUACUAUUUGUGAUAAUGCACAAUCAAUA